rnacentral:rRNA from 1 species
UACGUAGGGUGCAAGCGUUAUCCGGAAUUAUUGGGCGUAAAGAGCUCGUAGGCGGUUUGUCGCGUCUGCUGUGAAAACUGGAGGCUCAACCUCCAGCCUGCAGUGGGUACGGGCAAACUAGAGUGCGGUAGGGGAGAUUGGAAUUCCUGGUGUAGCGGUGGAAUGCGCAGAUAUCAGGAGGAACACCGAUGGCGAAGGCAGAUCUCUGGGCCGGCAUUGACGCUGAGGCGCGAAAGCCAGGGGAGCAAACGGG